rnacentral:rRNA from 1 species
AUUGAACGCUGGCGGCAGGCCUAACACAUGCAAGUCGAACGAGCGGCGGACGGGUGAGUAAUGUCUGGGAAACUGCCCGAUGGAGGGGGAUAACUACUGGAAACGGUAGCUAAUACCGCAUACUAUCAGAUGUGCCCAGAUGGGAUUAGCUAGUUGGUGGGGUAACGGCUCACCAAGGCGACGAUCUCUAGCUGGUCUGAGAGGAUGACCAGCCACACUGGGACUGAGACACGGUCCAGACUCCUACGGGAGGCAGCAGUGGGGAAUAUUGCACAAUGGGCGCAAGCCUGAUGCAGCCAUGCCGCGUGUAUGAAGAAGGCCUUAGGGUUGUAAAGUACUUUCAGCGGGGAGGCGUUACCCGCAGAAGAAGCACCGGCUAACUCCGUGCCAGCAGCCGCGGUAAUUC